rnacentral:rRNA from 1 species
AGAGUUUGAUCAUGGCUCAGGAUGAACGCUAGCGGCAGGCCUAAUACAUGCAAGUCGAACGCUCAGUAGCAAGUACUGGGAGUGGCGCACGGUGCGUAACGCGUACACAAUCUACCUCUAAGCGGGGGACACCUCCUGGAAACGGGGAUUAAUACCGCAUAAUAUGCCGAAGUCGCAUGACUUUGGUAUUAAAGCAGCAAUGCACUUAGAGAUGAGUGUGCGUCCCAUUAGGUAGUUGGUGAGGUAACGGCUCACCAAGCCUAUGAUGGGUAGCCGGUCUGAGAGGAUGGUCGGCCACACGGGCACUGAGACACGGGCCCGACUCCUACGGGAGGCAGCAGUAAGGAAUAUUGGUCAAUGGUGGAAACACUGAACCAGCCAUGCCGCGUGGAGGAAUAAGGUCCUACGGAUUGUAAACUCCUUUUGACGAGGAAGAAAAUGUUAGAUUUAUCUAAUUUUGACGGUACUCGUAGAAUAAGCACCGGCUAACUCCGUG